rnacentral:lncRNA from 1 species
CUAUGGGCCAAUUUUCAUCCAUGUGUUGAUAUUUUUUCCAGGCAAUAACAGAGCACCUGCGCCUGCUCACACCUGUGAAGAUAAGGACCAGCGGUGUUACAAAAUGAAGGAUACUUCAUGUUGCAAAGACAACGAAAUCUUGCGAGACGUAUGCCCGAAAACGUGUGGAGUGUGUCAGAGUUAUCUUAAGUAAUAAAAUAUUUAUAGAACAGUUAAAACUAUUGAAAAACGUCACUCAUUUCAGUCUGAAGGCAUUCUCGAUAAGGAAUGAAAUUGUCAGCCGUUAGACAGGGUUUGAUACAAAAUUAUCCAGGUAUAAAAUAACGCUUACUCAAAUAAUGGGCAUUGCAUUUGAGAUAACAGAAAAUCUUUUGUUUUCUUGCAGCCUACAUAUGUAUGUAUUGCUUGCGCUGCUAAUGUUUCCCACUGUACUUUGCAUAGCACAAUACCAUAGCACAAUACCAUAGCACAAUACCAUAACAAUAUACAGGGUGUAUAAAAAAGAUACCUCUUUACUGCUUUAGAAAUCAAACUAUUGUUGUUAAUCACAAGAUUUUAUGCUCCUGGGCAGGGGCGAAACUUGAGGGGGGGGUAUGGGGGGUGUGACACCUCCCAAAAUACGAAUCAUCUGGAUUGGCAGGGCGAAUCAUCUGGAUUGGCAGGACAAUCAAAUAUUUUAAAUGAUUGAGUGUAAAGUUAUUAAGUAACUUACAUGGCUUUCAGAGGGAAUUGAAUAGAAUUUAUAGACCUAAAUUUUACAGAUAUUGAUCCAAAAAUAAGGGUUUCACCCAUGUUUUGACAGGAAAUUCUACCGAAAAAUGUUUUUGACCCUUGAAAAAUUUUUCGACCCUUUUAAAAUUUUUUCACAUGAGACUGAAAAAAAAAUUCGUGCCGCAAAAAUUUUAUACCCCCCCUCCCCCUCCCGGGAUUUCUAAUGGUCCGCCCCUAGUAAAUGUAUUGUACUUAAAAUCAUGUUAAAAUGGAGUGAUAGAAUCUAUUACGAAAAAGCUUAUACGUAUAUAUAAAUAGUAAUAAUUUUCACAUAUAUAUUUUUAUCUGUAAUUUGAACAAUAUAUAAUUGGUUUAUAUAUGCAUUGCUAUGUAAAUAUUUGCAAAUAUAAAGUUAAUAAAUGUGGAAAGUACAAAGCAACAAUUUUUGAGUCAAGUCCUUCUCUUUCUUGGAUCCACUAAGAUCUCCAUUCACCAUCCAGUGGCAGUGAUCAAUUUUUUUAUUGUCUUUUCAUUGUUUUGAAAAUCCCACUGUCAGGGGCGCCGGAAGCAAUGUGAAGCGGCGGGGGCAGCCAUUAAUUUCAAAAGGGCACUUGCUUCUCACCCUUUUUUUGGGCGGCAAUAUUUGUUAAAACUUUAUUGUACGGAUACUCGAUUACUUGUGGCUAUUGUGGGUCGGCAAACUUCGACAUUAAUUUUGAACAAUUUUAUUUGUUGCACCAUGUUAAGGGCACAAAAUAAAAUCAGUAAACGGACGUAUAUUGCCUGAUUUAAAAUUAAUCAGGGGCCGCGGAACCGGGGGGCAAUGGGGGCAUGUGCCUCCGGCCCACUUUUUUAAAAGUGAAAAAAUGCACUUUUGGGGGGCUAGAAAAAAAGUGCCCUUUUUGCAGCAGUAAAGACUCUGUAAAGGCCAUUUCCGACGUUAUAGGAACUCAAAAAAUUAUACAAAAGUGAUUCCGCGGCCUCUGGCAUUAAUUUUACUAUAACUGGUCAAAAUUAAGCAAAUUAAGAUUGCUUAAAUAUUGCUUAAAAAUAGUGAUAAAUUCCAAUUCAUGUGAAUAACGCACAAAUAUCGAAGCGCAGUUCUGGUGAAAAAGGGCAACCUGUUGCCUCCGUGCCGCCCCCGCACUGUUUCGGCAACGGGGGCAGUUGCCCCCGCUGCCCCCGUGGCUCCGGCGCCCCUGCCCACUGUUGUACAUUGUCACUAAUUUCUUACACAUGCAUGUAUACAGUAUACACGCGAGUGCAUAUAUUUUACAAGUACAGUACAACAACAGUAAUAUGAUCUAUUAGCAAUUCGAUUUUAAUUCCCAGGGGCCUAAAAUCUUUUAUACUUAAGAAUUGCAAAG